rnacentral:rRNA from 1 species
ACGGAAGGCAGCAGUGGGGAAUAUUGGGCAAUGGGCGAAAGCCUGACCCAGCGAUGCCGCGUGAGGGAAGAAGGUCUUCGGAUUGUAAACCUUAGUCAACAGGGAAGAAGCAAGUGACGGUACCUGUGGAGGAAGCCACGGCUAACUACGUGCCAGCAGCCGCGGUAAUACGUAGGUGGCGAGCGUUAUCCGGAUUUACUAGGUGUAAAGGGUGUGUAGGCGGGUCUGCAAGUCAGAUGUGAAAACUAUCGGCUCAACUGAUAGCUUGCAUUUUAAACUGUGGGUCUUGAGUGUGGGAGAGGUAAGCGGAAUUCCCGGUGUAGCGGUGAAAUGCGUAGAUAUCGGGAGGAACGCCAGUGGCGAAGGCGGCUUACUGGACCACAACUGACGCUGAGACACGAAAGCGU